CGAGCAAGAGAGAGCUGCUUUCUCGAGCGAGUGGCGAACGGGUGAGUAACGCGUGAGGAACCUGCCUCAAAGAGGGGGACAACAGUUGGAAACGACUGCUAAUACCGCAUAAGCCCACGGGUCGGCAUCGACCAGAGGGAAAAGGAGCAAUCCGCUUUGAGAUGGCCUCGCGUCCGAUUAGCUAGUUGGUGAGGUAACGGCCCACCAAGGCGACGAUCGGUAGCCCGGGACUGAGAGGUUGAACGGCCACAUUGGGACUGAGACACGGCCCAGACUCCUACGGGAGGCAGCAGUGGGGAAUAUUGCACAAUGGGGGAAACCCUGAUGCAGCGACGCCGCGUGGAGGAAGAAGGUCUUCGGAUUGUAAACUCCUGUUGUUGGGGAAGAUAAUGACGGUACCCAACAAGGAAGUGACGGCUAACUACGUGCCAGCAGCCGCGGUAAAACGUAGGUCACAAGCGUUGUCCGGAAUUACUGGGUGUAAAGGGAGCGCAGGCGGGAAGACAAGUUGGAAGUGAAAUCUAUGGGCUCAACCCAUAAACUGCUUUCAAAACUGUUUUUCUUGAGUAGUGCAGAGGUAGGCGGAAUUCCCGGUGUAGCGGUGGAAUGCGUAGAUAUCGGGAGGAACACCAGUGGCGAAGGCGGCCUACUGGGCACCAACUGACGCUGAG
rnacentral:rRNA from 1 species